UCAGAACAGCGGACUUCGGUCCUUGCUGCACCCUUGUCUUUUGCGCACCGUAUUGUUUCCUCGGCGGGCUUGCCUGCCGGUUGGACAUUAUCAAAACCUUUUUGUAGUUGCAAUCAGCGUCAGAAAAACAAUAAUUAUUA
rnacentral:misc_RNA from 1 species